CGCUGGUCAAUAUAUAUUACAUACGUACAGCCACCGCCGCCGCCACUCGCCAUCUCCCGCUCCUGCCGCUGGUCGGCCGGUGACGGUCGUCGGUGCCAUCCCCCUCCACGUGACGACGGCUACGGUCUCCUUCCCCUUACGGUGGACAACAGGGGCACCUCCCGGUCGGAUCCUCGUCGUGGGCGUGAGGGCAAACUGGAUUUGCCGACCUGACAACCAAAUCGAGGCGGGGCUCCAUCCUCCAGGCGAGCGGCGGUGCGGCUGUGCGCUCCCCUUCUUGAUCCGUGAGGGCAGGGUGAUAAACGAACUGGUAGUAAUGACAGUGGUUCAACAUCGGCGGGACAAUCUCCACGACUUAAAUCUUUCUCUUGUAGAUCUCUUCUGACUAAUGAUGUGGAAAGUGGACUAAGAAGACCCCUGAACCCCUAGGGCUCACGUUGCAGACAGAUUAUUUUGCAAACCAAAGUGGACUAACCACAGUUUGUUGGAAGAGGGAUGCUGGUUCCUCAGAUAAGAACUAGAUGUUUAUUUCUUGGUUUAGGGAUUCCUGUUCAGAUAACUAGAGCUUUAUUAAUUUCCCUUUUUCUCUUAUAAAUGAAUUGAUGAGUUUUAUUUGUGAAUAUGUCUAGAUGAGUUCCUGUUCAAAAUUCAGAUAUGCGACUUGUUUUCAUUCAGUGAUUUAAAUGUUCAGAUGUGCAUGCUUCCUACUGGCUGAUAUGCAUUCAUUUCACCCAAGAGAUUCUGAUCUGAUUUGUCAAUCCAAAUUUACUACUAGGUGCAAGCUUGGUUUGAUAACCUGAUAUGAGUUAAUAUAUUUAGCCCCUGCGUUGUGAGUUGCUGUUUUUCCAGUGAUGACAGGAUGGGUCCUGCUGCCGAGCCCAUUCUUACUGACAAGCUGUAGGCGGCGAGCAGAAGGCCAACAUUGUGACGUGAAUUCCCCAACCUCUGCUGGCUCCAACCCAAACAACAACCUUAGGAGCAUCCUUUGUGCAGGUGUUGAGCGCUGGGACCAUCUUAUAACGCUAGAUGAGCAAUGGACCUCUCCAAUCUUUUUAUUUGUUUUUUAUUUGUAAGGGGUGGGAUUUUUUUUGUGUGUGGCAUUCUGGCCUUGCAACAGUGAUAACUAUGUGAUCCAUGGUCAAAUGCUUAUCAUUCCUCAAGGAAGUCUAUCUAGUAUUCCAGUGCAGCGAUUGCAUGUACAAGACCUACUGGCUCUUUUCUCUCCUUGUAAUGAUCACUAGGUGCUAUAAUUGUUGUACAAUUGUAUUACUUGUGUC